CACGUAGGGGGCAAGCGUUUGUCCGGAUUUAUUGGGCGUAAAGAGCUCGUAGGCGGCUCGGUAAGUUGGGUGUUAAACCCCCAGGCUUAACCUGGGGACGCCACCCGAUACUGCCGUGGCUAGAGUCCGGUAGGGGAGCGUGGAAUUCCUGGUGUAGCGGUGAAAUGCGCAGAUAUCAGGAGGAACACCAAUAGCGAAGGCAGCUCGCUGGGA
rnacentral:rRNA from 1 species